rnacentral:rRNA from 1 species
GACGUAGGGCGCAAGCGUUGUCCGGAUUUAUUGGGCGUAAAGAGCUCGUAGGCGGCUUGUUACGUCGACUGUGAAAACCCGUGGCUCAACCAUGUGGUCUGCAGUCGAUACGGGCAGGCUAGAAUUCGGUAGGGGAGACUGGAAUUCCUGGUGUAGCGGUGAAAUGCGCAGAUAUCAGGAGGAACACCGGUGGCGAAGGCGGGUCUCUGGGCCGAUAUUGACGCUGAGGAGCGAAAGCGUGGGGAGCGAACAGG